GACGAACGCUGGCGGCGUGCUUAACACAUGCAAGUCGAACGGAAAGGCCCUGCUUUUGUGGGGUGCUCGAGUGGCGAACGGGUGAGUAACACGUGAGUAACCUGCCCUUGACUUUGGGAUAACUUCAGGAAACUGGGGCUAAUACCGGAUAGGAGCUCCUGCUGCAUGGUGGGGGUUGGAAAGUUUCGGCGGUUGGGGAUGGACUCGCGGCUUAUCAGCUUGUUGGUGGGGUAGUGGCUUACCAAGGCUUUGACGGGUAGCCGGCCUGAGAGGGUGACCGGCCACAAUGGGACUGGGAUACGGCCCAGACUCCUACGGGAGGCAGCAGUGGGGAAUAUUGCACAAUGGGCGGAAGCCUGAUGCAGCAACGCCGCGUGCGGGAUGACGGCCUUCGGGUUGUAAACCGCUUUCGCCUGUGACGAAGCGUGAGUGACGGUAAUGGGUAAAGAAGCACCGGCUAACUACGUG
rnacentral:rRNA from 1 species